AUGAGGCGCUAUGCCGCUGUGCUGAGGGUCGCUGUGGUGGGCCUGUUGGUGCUCGGCCUCGCCCUCCCUCCGCUGGCCGCGGCGCUGCGGCCUCUCAGGGAGCGCGUCGCGUCCGCCGGAGCCGCGGCCUCCUCCGGAUCGUGGGCCGAUGAGCAUGCAUUCUACAAGAGGGAUGAUAAUGACAUGAGCCCAUAUUCAUGGAAUAUUACAGGAACAUAUAAAGGAAGUUGGAGCUUUGCUGGUGCUACAAAUGGUUCUUCUAGGUUUCUUGAGUUCAUGACAUCUAAAGGCGACUCGGUUUUGGAAUUACUGAGUACACCAACAAAGAUAAGCGGGGUACACUAUGUUCAGGGAACAAUAACAUUCCAUGAUGUUAUUGACAAAUCACAUGAUCGUGGGGCUGCUCAAAUAAGGUUAGAAGGCGUGUAUAUAUGGCCUUUUAGACAACUUCGUAUGGUGGCAAACAGCGGUGCAGAUGGUGAACCGCUUCAAGAAGAGGAUUACUUCUUGUCAAAUCCAUACCAUCUGCUGCGGAUUUUCUCCUCUCAAGUUUUCCAAGAUUCUUCUGAAGAGAAGAACCGAAGGAAGAACUCUCUCACACAUGACAUGGAGAAACACUGUAACAUAGAAAUAGCCGCUAAAGUGGUCCGGGUGUCAACUAACCAAAAUGGUACUGAAUUUUCUUAUGAAGGAGAGCAUGAGAAGUACCGAUUGGAGGGUUUGAUGGAAAGUCCAUCAGUGGAUGAUGAUGGAGAAUGCUUCUCAUCUAUCUUGCUAAAUUCAACAUCGCUGAAUGUUGAAGCUUAUUACAACAAAGCAGUUAACUAUACACUGAUGGUCACUUUUAUCUCUUUUCUCCAAGUUUUGCUGCUUAUUAGACAAAUGGAACACAGCAACACCCAGUCAGGAGCUGCUAAGGUGUCUAUUAUUAUGAUUGGGCAACAAGCUAUCAUGGAUGCAUAUCUUUGUCUACUGCAUCUGACUGCUGGAAUAUUGGUUGAGUCACUCUUUAAUGCCUUUGCAACAGCUGCCUUCUUCAAAUUCGUUGUUUUUUCUAUUUUUGAGAUGAGGUAUCUUCUUGCUAUAUGGAAAGCAAGUAGGCCAUUGAACAGUGGAGAAGGUUGGGAAAUAAUGAGGCGUGAACUUUCUGUUCUUUACAGCCGCUUUUACGGCAUUCUUUUGGGAGGAAUCCUUCUCAUGUAUGAGUUGCACAAUUUCUUGCGCCCGCUUCUUUUCCUGAUGUACUCCUUUUGGAUUCCUCAAAUUGUCACGAAUGUCAUCCGGGAUACAAGAAAACCGCUGCACCCUCAGUAUAUUUUAGGCAUGACUGCUACCCGGGUCGCCAUCCCGCUAUAUAUAUUUGGUUGUCCUAGCAACUUCAUGCGCAUUGAGCCCGACAAGAAAUGGUGCAUAGCUGUGACGGCAUUCAUGGGUAUCCAAGCAGCUGUGCUGCUGCUCCAGCACUAUCUUGGUUCUCGCUGCUUUAUUCCCCGCCAGAUCCUCCCUGAGAAAUACUGCUACCACAGGAAGGUAGAGGAUAGCACAAAUCAGCCCAUUGAUUGUGUAAUCUGCAUGACUACAAUUGAUCUCUCCCAAAGAACAAGUGAAUACAUGGUGGCACCGUGCGAGCAUAUAUUCCACUCGGGCUGUUUACAACGUUGGAUGGACAUCAAGAUGGAGUGCCCAACUUGCAGGCGCUCUCUACCACCAGCUUAG
rnacentral:rRNA from 1 species